CAAGCGAUAGUUUAACCCCCAGAAUUUUGGCCUUGGGUGUCAGAGAUGAAAGUGAAAAUCUUUCUUGCUUGA
rnacentral:tRNA from 1 species